CAGGCAGUCUGACUCCAAGAUUCAAGCUCUUAGUUACAGCACUUUGCAGCUUCCUCACUUCCUUUGACCAUUAUUCAUAUAAUUCUAUCCUAGGCUCCUCUCCUGGAUGUGAGCUAAUUUGUCUAUGUCUCUUCCAAAAUCUUGCACCUGGGACUGCAUGAGGAAUUUCAGAUAUGGAUUGAAAAGUUCAACAGGACUCUCACCUCUCUUUUUACCUGAUGCCUCCAAGUGCUGAGACUUUUGAAGGUUUCUGAGGCAAUGUUUCCUACUGUAGGCAGUCAGCUGCAACCUACUUGUCUGCUAUGCUGGGUGAUGCUUCCAACAUUUUAUGAGACAAGAUUUCACCAUGUUGGCCAUGAUGGUCUCGAUCUCUUGACAUCGUGAUCCACCCGCCUCGGCCUCCCAAAGUAAGGUUUAUGCAUAAGGUUAGUGUUUGUCACAUUAUACAAAUAAAAUUGGAAGCAAUCUUAACGCUGCAUUAACUGGUUAUUGCUUAAAUAAAUUACGGUUUCUUGCUCUCUCAAUGUCAACCCCCUAUCCCAAUUCAGAGUUGACUGGGAAGAGGCAGGAAGUCAGACUUGUAUUAGGCAUGUGUGUCUGAACUUGGCCCCUUAAUGAUCUAACCUACUGAUUCUCAGCCCUGGCUGCACAUUAGGAUCACCUGGGGAACUUUAAAAAAAUGCUGAUAUCUAAGGCUCCCUCCUCUUCCCAAGAUUCUGAUUCAAUUGGUCCUGGGUGAGGCCUAGGCAUUGGUAUUAUUUUUAAAGCUCCCUGGGUGAUUCUAAUGUGCAGCCAGGGUCAAGAACCAUUGCUAACCAGCACUCCCUUUAAGUUGAUUAAUUAUAUAGGCUAUUGACCAAAGCUGGAACUAACAGCCCUCAAGAAACCCCAGGGAAGCCACGCCAUUGCUUGAG
rnacentral:lncRNA from 1 species